GAGGAGUCGAGUAGAGAGAGCUGCUUUUUCAUGAAACGGGAGUAAAUUAGUGAACUUAGAGGAGAGAAACAAACUAAAGUAUCGAUCAUAUACCACUACCAACGUUUGGAUCGAUAUCUGCAUCGAUCUGCCCACCCUUGUCUCCUGGAUCGUAGCUGAGAUCAGCGUGAACCACGUGGGUCUCUGCUCCCUGAUCUGUUUCCUGUGUUUGGAAAGAGUUCCAGCUUCAUCACGGAGUUUCUCUCGGUUUGUGGGCUCAUCUAAAGCUGAGUAACAGGAGGAGAAGAGUCUGGUGGAGCAGCAGAGGAACAAUUUCAGCCAUUUGGACUCAGCUCAGCCACUACAGAGGAAACAAUGACUUCAAUACAGGAGGACCAACAUGGAGCGAGAAGUCAGCGCUCUCAGGAGGCUGACGAACUUCACAGACAAAAAAGAGAAAAGAAAUACACCUGUGAUGAGUGUGGGAAGGAUUUUACCCGUUCUGGCAACUUAAAAACACACCAAUUCAUCCACAGUGGAGUUAAACCGUACAGCUGUGAUCAGUGUGGUAAAGCCUUUAAUCACGGAAGCCACUUACGACGUCAUCAAUUUACUCACUCUGGAAUGAAAGCGUACAGCUGUAAGUUGUGUGGUAAAGCUUUUUCUGACAAUGGAAGCUUACGGAGUCAUCUAGUUACCCACUCUGGAGUUAAAGCAUACAGCUGUGAGCAGUGUGGUAAAGCUUUUGCUCAUAGUAAAAGCUUAAAGAGUCAUCUAGUUACCCACUCUGGAGUUAAGGCAUACAGCUGUCAUCAGUGUGGUAAAGCUUUUGCUUGCAGUAGGUACUUACAGAGUCAUCUAGUUACGCACUCUGGAAUUAAGGCGUACAGCUGUGACAUUUGUGGAAAAACCUUCCGCUGGCUACUCAGCCGUAAUAUUCACCAACGCAUUCACACCAAAAAGGAUUUUUGCUUCUGUGAUCAGUGUGGCAAAACUUUUGUGGCAUACAAAUAUUUACAGCAGCACAUGUUUAUCCACACUGAGGAGAGACCUUAUAAAUGUGACCUGUGUGAGAAGACUUUUAAAGAUCCACGUUCCCUGAGACAACAUCAACAGAUUCACACCAGAAAGAAACUCUACAAGUGCAGUUACUGUGAGAAACAGAGUGGCACAGAUGGAUCCACUUCUCAACCCUGUCGUCACUGUGGUGGUGGGAAAGCGUUUCGUUGUGACCUUUGUGGAAAAACUUUCAAUCAUCCAGAUAGCCUAAAACUACAUCAACGUAGACACACUGGAGACAACAUGAAUUACUGCAAAGAGUGUGGGAAAGGCUUCCCCACAUCAAGUGAAUUAAAAAAACAUCAUCUUUAUCACAGUGGCGUUAAAAAGCACAUCUGUGACCAGUGUGGUUCAUCUUUCACCACUGCAAAUCAGCUUAAAGAGCAUAAAAGAGUCCACACAGGAGAGAAACCAUACAAGUGCAGACACUGUGACAAAAGCUUCUCACUUUCAGGCCAUCGUAAUGUUCAUGAACAUACACACAUUGAAGGGAACUUCAGCUGUGACCAGUGUGACAAGACCUUCAAGAAUCUCAGUUCAUACUCUGCACACAAACGAUCCCACGCUGCAAAUAAACUGUUUCACUGUUACCAAUGUGCAAAAACGUUCACUUCAUUAUCUUCUCUGUGCAAACAUCAGCAUGAUCAUGCAUGACUGAAAUCACUGGAUAACAAUGAAUCUGAAGAAAAAGAAAGAUCCCCUUCAGGUUUCAGGGUCAGACUUAAAAACCUUGAGAUCAGGCUCCACAGAGUUCAGCUGGAAUCUCCUAUAAAAAGUGUGUCAGCUGAUGUCACACUUGGAUCUGAGGAGGUAGCUCUGAUUUGGACCUGCAGUGAAUAAUCCUGAAUCUUAAAUUUAGAAGUUGCAAUUAUGGAUAUAUAGAUCAACUUAAUUUUUCUUUGAUAAAUGUUGAUGCUCUGUUUUAAAAACCUACCUUGUUUUAUUGUAAUUUUAUGUGUUAUCUUGUCAAACUUUAAUCUUAAAUCCCUUUCUCCCAAAACCGCAAAUAAUGUCACACUAGUUGCUCUUACAGCACCCAAUACAAACUAAAUUGUCAACCAGCUUUGAAACAAAAGCUGCUUUGACUUAAUGUCCAGAAAAAAGAAUCUCAAGCUAAACUGGCAUUGGGAUGUACUGCCAUGUAGUACCAGUUUGUACCAGAAGAUUGAGCAGUGAGUGUAAUCUUUAUUUAAUCAGGCAAAGAACACAUUCUUAUUCACAGUGGCAGCAAAGAAUUGUUAAGGUUAGCUGAUGUGCAGCACAUAUCAGGACCAUUGAAACGAUCACAAAGACUACUUUUACUUAAUUCAAAUUCUAACAAACCUCUGCUUUUGGGUCCUCCUUUCACUUUAGUGUAUUUACUGUAUCCUUUAAAUCCACGUGUUGUUUAGUGAAUGCAUUUUGAGCUGCAUGUUUUGCAGCUGUUUUCUUGUUGGGUUUAAAUUUGUAUUGUGAAACAGUGAUACUGUUAAAGCAUUAGUUAUAUUUGAUUA